CUUGCUCCGUCACCGAGUCUGGAGUGCAGUGGUAUGAUUAUGGCUUACUUGAACUUCUGGGCUCAAGCAAUCCUCCCACCUCAGCCUCCAGAAUAGCUGGGACUAUAAGUGUGGAUCAUCAACCCUGGCUAAUUUUUUGAUUUUUUAUAGAGACGAGGUCUCACCAUGUUGCCCAGACAAGUCUUUAACUCCUGGGCUCAAGCAAUCCUCCCACCUCAGCCUCCUAAAGUGCCGGGAUUACAGGCAUGAGCCACUGUGCCUGACUUCCAGAUUUGCAUCUUAAAGGGCUGUUCCAUUGAAUGUCUGUUCUAACACGUGCCAUUUGGGAUCCCUUGGAAUCUUCAUGUACAGAACUGGUUGCUGCCUCGUUGAGUCGGUGGGGACAGAAUAGCUCCUGGUUGACAGCAUGGGUUGUGCAGAAGGACGGAUCCUGCAGACAUCAAUAUCUGGCUUUGAGUGGCACAAAGAAAUAAAGGAAUGUGGAUUCAGACCUCACUGGGAUGCUUGGCAAUUCUAAUUCUACCCCAGACUGCAAAUGGACACACAACUGUUGUGACUUUUGUUGAAGAGGAGAAGGAUGGACUUGCCCUGAAUUCUUUCAUGUGCAAUAUCCGAAAACCCUCUCUUGGGGCCUGGAUCAGGACCCCUUUCCUAUAACAUCUUUCUGGCGACAACAAAGGGACAAUGGUGUGGAAUCCCCCUUCCCAAAUGCUACUUUUAGGCUGUUUCCCAUAUAAGGUUCAUGACCCCCAGUGAGGAUGAAACUGCCUGCAAGGUUUGUCUUCUCUCCUGUUCACUGGUUACUCAGCCAGGCUGAUUCAUGGGCUUCUCAAAGGAGCUUGUUUAUCAGAAGCUUGUCUAAGACACCACGUCUUCCAGAAAAUCUCACCUGAGUCACCAACAGAUUCCUCUAAGAGUCUGUAAGCCACUCCUGACCAGCAGGAAACCCCAACAGAGGCAAAGAAUAGGAAAUUAAAUAUUUCGUCAAGAAAAAAUGAGAGGCUGGGUGCGGUGGCUCAUGCCUAUAUCCCAGCACUUUAGGAGGCCUAAGCGGGCGGAUCAUUUGAGGUCAGGAGUUUGAGACCAGCCCGGCCAACAUGGUGAAACCCUGUCUCUACUAAAAAUACAAAAACAAUUAGCUGGGCAUGGUGGUGGGUGCUUGUAAUCCCAGCUACUGGGGGAGGCUGAGGCGGGAGAAUCGCUGAAACCCAGGAGACAGAAGUUGCUGUGAGCCGAGACCACACCACUGCACUCCAGCCUGGGUGAGAGUGAGACUGUCUCAAAAAAAAAAAAAAAAAAAAAAAAAAAGCAAGAAAGCUCCCAUUUAGAUCACUCGGACAAAAGAUUUCUUUUUGUGCCAAAAUGUUCCACUAGGCUUCCAGUUUUUACCACAUAACUUGACAGUCAUGCAAGACUUAAGUGUAUUUUCAGCUAUCCUUUCUCUUUCAUUUAUUUCUGUUUAAUAAGCUCUGUCCAUUGAUUCUAGUUAGUACAUUAUAUAUCUUUUUAAUCACUUACCUGCAGUGAGCAUCUUUCCAUGUUGGUAAAUACCGGUGCUACUACUGUUACUACUGAGUACUUAUUCCAUGUCAAAUCCUCUGCCAAGCAUUUUCAAGCAUUGUCUCAUUGCCUUCUUGCCACAACCCUAUGAAGAGGCCGUGACUGUCCUCAUCCAAUGGAGGAGGAAGCUAAGGCUGAGAGCAAUUAACACAGCUGUGAGUGAACAGGUAGGAUUUAAAGCCAGGCAGUAUGAUUCCGGAGCCUACGCUUUUAAUCACUGUUAUUUUACUCUCCUCCACUCCCCAAAUAUACUGCAUUUUUUUUGUGUGAUUGUAUUGUAUUAUUCUGUUCUAGAUGUACUAUGAUUGAUUUCGUCCAUGCUGUAAUUACACUUCGGUUGGUUUUAGUUUUCACUACUACAAAUGGUGUUGCAACGAACGUCUUUGUGGGCAAAUCUUUACAGGUCAUGAAUGACCCUUUCCUUAGGACACAUAUUGCCAAGCUGAUCUCCACAAAGGUAGUACACGCCCAUCAUAUUGUACAAAAGUAUUCUUUGCCCUCCACCCUUGACACUGGGUUGCAUCUAUUUUUUAAUUAUUGCUGUUAGGAUAGAAGAACAAGGCUGACACAUUGUUGUUUCAGUUUGUAAGCUAGAACACUUCAUUGCACAUUAGCUGUAUUCCUUAGGUGUAUUUCUUGUUCAUGUCCUUUGCCCUCUGAGGUUUGUCUCUUUAUCACAGAUUUGAGAACUUUUUGUAUAUGUCUUAUAUUUUUAGAAUUAAUAAAUUUAGGGCAUAAACCCAAUAGAAAGAAAAACAGACUCAUUCUGUGUUUUGCAUAGCAUCUUACCUCCUAUCCUUCCUCCACAUUGAUAGUAAAGCAUAAGAAAUGAUUCCUGUGCCCAGAGGUUGAAAGCAGGUCCAUUUUAACAAAGUCACUUGGAAGCAUCCCCUUUCUCCAAAAGAAGCUCCCAGCUUCUCCUCCUGCUCUUCGGUCUCAGAGGAAGGGAAGAUGUUGGAGAGGAGCAUAAAAACUUACUUUGGGCCAGGCGCGGUGGCUCACGCCUGUAAUCCCAGCACUUUGGGAGGCCGAGAAGGGCAGAUCAUGAGGUCAGGAGAUCGAG
rnacentral:lncRNA from 1 species